GCUUGAGAGCUAAGGGACACUUCCGGAAGUGGGCUCUGGCCCGCGCUUUUCCCCUUCGGCGGUCGUUAGCUACUCCUUAGAACUACGAUUCCCAGAAUUCUAUGGACUAGCAGGGGCGCUUCUUUUCUAUUGACUUGCAGGGCCACACAGUUAGGGGGUUAUGAAGCAGGGAAGGUAGCGGUAAACGGGAUAAGAGGCUCGGUUGAGGCGGCAUUCUGGGAAAUGGAGUCUAGGAGCAGGAAUGUCUUGGGCUCGCGGACGUCUUGAAUGGGCAGUCCGGAAGCCCAGUAUGCGCAGGCGCACUAAACUGUCUGGCCUGGCGGGUGCGUCCUCUUCGCUGGCAACGCUGGUCGGAUUGCAGACCUCGGGGAAGGAUCGCUGGGCAUUCUUUACAGGGCCCUCGGUCGGACUAAGGCUUCUGGGGUCUUCGUGCUGACUUCAGCCUGUCUCUGCCCACAGAGUCUCCAGGAACCCACCCUGGGACUCGAGAGGGUGGGCUUCCCACGAGGGAGACAGAAAUUGGAGCCCCAGGGCCACCAUUCCUGCUUAAGGGACAUUGCUCCUGAGCCCCCCAGAUCCCAGCUCACCAGGAUCCUCUCAGGCUCCUGGGAGUGAAAGUGGAGGAGAAUUCCCCCCCACCCCAGGGAGUAGGAAUCCAGUCUAGCGGGAGACAAACCUGACCAGAGAUCUCUCAACCAGAGCUUCAGGGCUGAGGCUGGAGAUUGAUACAGAGGAACAGAUCCUGGGACUGCUGGCGCCUUUGCAAUUCCUGACCAUCUCUAAGGCAGUGAGGAAGGGCUAACCAUGGAGGAUUUGACCCAAAUGAUUGGAGAGAGAGCUCUGCCUUCUCAGGAUGAGAAUCACCCAGAGGAGGAGAUGGCUGCUGUGGUCUUGCCAGCUGGGCCCCAGGUGAGUCAGACUCAAUUCGUCUUCCUUAAACACCAUUUUCACUCUCAGCAGAUACCAGUCCUUCCCUCAUUCUGCAGCUUUGUGGCCCAGCCCCCUCUGCCCUCUCCUUGCAUCCUGGGCUGUGGGUUACUGAGUCCAGCUACCUUUUUUCCACUUCUUUUCUCCCUCAUCUUUUGUGCAUUAUUUGAUACUUGAAGCUCCUCACUAAGUUAGCCUAAGAGAUGCCGCUCUUUAGAUUCUCCUACCUUUUGGACAAUUCCCUCCAUCUCCUUAUUGUGUUCAUGGCUCUUCAUGGGGGGCGAGCCUCAAGAGUCUCUCCUGGAC
rnacentral:lncRNA from 1 species